rnacentral:rRNA from 1 species
AACGAACGCUGGCGGCGUGCCUAACACAUGCAAGUCGAACGGAAUUGAGGGGCUUGCUCUUCAAUUUAGUGGCGCACGGGUGAGUAACGCGUAGAUAAUCUGCCUGAUGAUCUGGGAUAACACUUCGAAAGAGGUGCUAUUACCGGUUAAGCCCACGGUGUCUUUGGACUCUGCGGGAAAAGGGGGGGACCUUCGGGCCUUCUGUCAUCAGAUGAGGCUGCGUACCCUUAGCUAGUUGGUAGGGUAAAGGCCUACCAAGGCUACGAUGGUUAGCUGGUCGGAAAGGGUGAUCAGCCACACUGGAACUGGGACACGGUCCAGACUCCUACGGGAGGUAGCAGUGGGGAAUUUUGCGCAAUGGGCGAAAGCCUGACGCAGCAACGCCGCGUGAGUGAUGAAGGCUUUCGGGUCGUAAAGCUCUGUCGAGGGGAAAGAAGUGUAUUGUGGUUAAUACCUGCGAUACUUGACGGUACCCCUAAAGGAAGCACCGGCUAACUCCGUGCCAGCCGCCGCCGUAAUAC